GACGAACGCUGGCGGCGUGCUUAACACAUGCAAGUCGAACGGAAAGGCCCUGCUUUUGUUGGAUGCUCGGGUGACGAACGGGUAAGUCACACGUGAGUAGCCUGCCCUUGACUUUGGGCUAACUUCAAGUAACUGGGGCUAAUACCGUGUGGGACCUCCUCCUGCAUGGUGGGGGUUGGCACGUUUCGGCGGUUGGGGAUGGACUCGCGGCUUAUCAGCUUGUUGGUGGGUUAGUGGCUUACCAAGGCUUGGACGGGUAGCCGGCCUGAGAGGGUGACCGGCCACAUGGGGACUGGGAUCCGGCCCAGCCCCCUACGGGAGGCAGAGGGGGGGAAUAUGGAACAAUGGGCGGAGCCUGGAGGCAGCAACGCGGCGGGCGGGAUGACGGCUUUCGGGUGGUAAACCGCUUCCGCCGGGGACGAAGUGUGAGUGACGGUAACGGGUGAAGAAGCACCGGCUAACUACGUG
rnacentral:rRNA from 1 species